CAGGCUGCAACUCGCCUGCAUGAAGUCGGAAUUGCUAGUAAUCGCAGAUCAGCAUGCUGCGGUGAAUACGUUCCCGGGCCUUGUACACACCGCCCGUCACACCAUGGGAGUCGGUAACACCCGAAGUCGGUAGCCUAACCGUAAGGAGGGCGCCGCCGAAGGUGGGAUUGAUGACUGGGGUGAAGUCGUAACAAGGUAUC
rnacentral:rRNA from 1 species